UAGGGAAUCUUCGGCAAUGGGGGGAACCCUGACCGAGCAACGCCGCGUGAGUGAAGAAGGUUUUCGGAUCGUAAAGCUCUGUUGUUAAGGAAGAACGUGUGUGAGAGUGGAAAGUUCACACAGUGACGGUACUUAACCAGAAAGGGACGGCUAACUACGUGCCAGCAGCCGCGGUAAUACGUAGGUCCCGAGCGUUGUCCGGAUUUAUUGGGCGUAAAGCGAGCGCAGGCGGUUAGAUAAGUCUGAAGUGAAAGGCAGUGGCUCAACCAUUGUAGGCUUUGGAAACUGUUUAACUUGAGUGCAGAAGGGGAGAGUGGAAUUCCAUGUGUAGCGGUGAAAUGCGUAGAUAUAUGGAGGAACACCGGUGGCGAAAGCGGCUCUCUGGUCUGUAACUGACGCUGAGGCUCGAAAGCGUGGGGAGCGAACAGGAUUAGAUACCCUGGUAGUCCACGCCGUAAACGAUGAGUGCUAGGUGUUAGGUCCUUUCCGGGACUUAGUGCCGCAGCUAACGCAUUAAGCACUCCGCCUGGGGAGUACGACCGCAGGGUUG
rnacentral:rRNA from 1 species